rnacentral:rRNA from 1 species
GUGGAUUAGAUACCCUGGUAGUCCAUGCCGUAAACGGUGGGCACUAGGUGUGGGUUCCAACUAACGGGAUCCGCGCCGUCGCUAACGCAUUAAGUGCCCCGCCUGGGGAGUACGGUCGCAAGACUAAAACUCAAAGGAAUUGACGGGGGCCCGCACAAGCAGCGGAGCGUGUUGCUUAAUUCGAUGCUACGCGAAGAACCUUACCUGGGUUUGACAUGUUUGGAAAAGCCACAGAGAUGUGGUGGCCGCAAGGGCCAAACACAGGUGGUGCACGGCUGUCGACAGCU